AUAGUUCUAAUUAAAUUUAUAAUUUUCACAGAAGUGUAUUAAUCUGUUCUUAUUAGUUUAAUAUCUGAUAUAUGUGGGCCAUGUGCCAACCUCAAUAUUAAAUUAAUCUUUUGUGGGGAUUGUCCACCCACGGUAGCUUACUACUGGGGAUCUGUCACGUCGCCCUUGUGCUGCACUACUGCUCGAGUCUAGCGCACUCCUG
rnacentral:snRNA from 1 species